UACGGAGGGUGCAAGCGUUAUCCGGAUUCACUGGGUUUAAAGGGUGUGUAGGCGGGUAUUUAAGUCAGUGGUGAAAUCUUCAGGCUCAACCUGGAAACUGCCAUUGAUACUAUUUAUCUUGAAUUCUGUUGAGGUGGGCGGAAUAUAUCAUGUAGCGGUGAAAUGCUUAGAUAUGAUAUAGAACACCGAUUGCGAAGGCAGCUCACUAAACAGACAUUGACGCUGAGGCACGAAGCGUGGGGAUCAAACAGG
rnacentral:rRNA from 1 species